UACGUAGGCAGCAAGCGUUGUUCGGAGUUACUGGGCGUAAAGGUGCGUAGGUGGCUCUAUAAGUAUGGUGUGAAAUCUCCCGGCUUAACUGGGAGGGUGCGCCGUAGACUGUGGGGCUAGAGUGUGGGAGAGGAAAGGUGGAAUUCCUGGUGUAGCGGUGAAAUUCGUAGAUAUCAGGAGGAACACCUGCGGCGAAGGCGGCUUCCUGGCCCAUUACUGACGUUCAGGUACGAAAGCGUGGGUAGCAAACAGG
rnacentral:rRNA from 1 species